AAGUUGGAGGCUUAAGUGACUGAGCCACCCAGGCGCCCCUCCAAACAGGAAACAAGGAGACAGGAUGGCUCAGCCAGUGGAGCGGGGAAGGAAAUGACAGAAAGCAGGCAUGGCAGAACUUCCUGUGGCCGUGGGGAUGCUCAAGCAGCCUCUGUCCACGCGGGGCAAUGCGGAGGGGCCCGCAAGCUGGGGCUCAGACCCCCAGAGUGAGAGAGGGAGAAAUAGAUCAGCUGGACGCGGACAGAAGAAGCUACACCGGAAAAGCUUGUGUAAUAAGAUGUCAUGUAGGGCUGGCCUGGUGGACCCCCAGGAAGACAAGGAGCCCCGGCCGCCAGGAGUGGAGGGGAGUUCAGCAAGGUGCUAUGCUGAGUCCUGCUGGGACUGGAAUAAACCUCAGUCAUCCUGAGGUCUUUAUUGAAAAUGCUGCUGAUUGGUGCAUCCUGAAUUAGUCUUACAUCA